GGGCAUUUAGUACAGAGGUUGGGCGCACGCUUUACAUGAUACUCUGAGCCGAAGUCGAUUGCUUGCGUGAUGUUGAGAGUUCAAUCCUCUCAAUGUCCA